rnacentral:snoRNA from 1 species
AUGUCUCUUGCCUCGCUCGAUCUCCCGUUCCCCUCGGUUGAUCUUGAGCUGGAUGCAGCUGUACUAGGUACAGAUUGUACGAGACGAGAAGAAGGCUUCGCCUCCGACGAUCUUUGAGUACGAUUUUAUCCGCAUGCCACGGAUAUGAUCGUAAUUUAUCCGUCGGGACAUCA